CUCUUCCUGAUUCUCAGUGAGCGAGCAUCCCCGUCAUACCACGCAGCUCAGCUCUCCUCCCGUGUUUGCAGGGGCGAAGUCCUGCGGUGCUGGCGCAGCUUCUGUUUUGGUCCCGGACAGCUCCCUCCAGUUUAUUCUAAAAUGUGAACACCUUCCCAAGCCUCCAGGAUUUAAACUGCUAUCAUUAAGCAAACACAGCUUAUGUGCAGGGCUAAAUAGCCAGCAACUAUCAACCAUAGGACAAACUGAGCAUCCAGGCAGGCACAGCCCCUCUACUGAGUUCAAAGCUCUUUGCAGCUCACGUUCUCCAUCUUGUGGACAUUUAUCCCUGGCAGAGUCUCAGAAGCUGGUAACUGUGUGUUGGAGAACUACUAAGCUCAGAGUCCAGGGAGGUGAGCUUCUUUUGCCCAAUAUGCAGGGAAGCUCAGGCAAAAUGAGAAAGUCAGCAAACUACUUGUAUUCUUCUUAGCCACCCCUUAUGCUUUAUCUCCUCUCUGUGGAGCUUAAACCCUUUUCCACAUAAGAAAGAAAUAAUUUUUUCCAUAGUCAGCAGCAGCAGGUGUGUGUGUGUG